rnacentral:lncRNA from 1 species
ACUAUGAAAGGUUUAACCUUGUCUUUCUCGCCUUCCUAGCCCCACCUUCCACCCUUCCAUGCUGCCCUAGUACUCAGCAAAUGCCCCAUAGGGCAAACUGGCCAUGCAUUUGGGGGUUUUUCUAGAUUCCAAUCCGUCAUGCCAUCCCAAUGGCUGUCAAAAUGUCUGUUGGAUUCUCUUUCCUCUAGUAGAGAUGCCAGUACCUUUAGCAGGGCCCAGUCCUCAGCUCUCAUGUUUGAGAAAUGACCUCAGAGAAUAAGGCCAGCUCACUCAGGAAAUGUUUUUCCUUCUUAAGAAUUUUAGUUAAGCUAAGUCAUUGCUUACAUCGGUCUCCAGUGUCUUCAAAGAAAAAAAUAUAUACAAUGUGCUUACUUCCUAAGUUAUGGUGGAGUAAUGGCUUGCUAUUGCUAUGUCCAAAAAGCAAAAGCUCCAUUAAGUUUUCAAUUUUAAUUAUUAUAUUUUGUUGUUUUUCAAAAAUGCAUUGUCAUUUGGUGGUUAUGAAUUAUAAUUAUGUUUAAAAUUUUUUUCAUUUAUUUAUGUAAACAUAUCAAACAGCUUUAUAUUCUGUAUCUGAUAGUUCCAGUAAUCUAAUAAUCUUUAUAAAUAUUUCUAUUGUUUCUGCUGACUCUUGCUAAUGGUGCUUUAUUCCC